AGAGUUUGAUCCUGGCUCAGAAUCAACGCUGGCGGCGCGCUUAACACAUGCAAGUCGCACGAGAAAGGGAGCAAUCCUAAGUAAAGUGGCGCACGGGUGAGUAACACGUGGAUCAUCUACCUUUUAGUGGGGAAUACCUCUGGGAAACCGGAGACAAUACCGCAUAAGCCCGCAAGGGGAAAGCAGCAAUGCGCUGAAAGAGGAGUCCGCGGCCGAUUAGCUAGUUGGCGGGGUAACGGCCCACCAAGGCGAAGAUCGGUAGCCGGCCUGAGAGGGCACACGGCCACACUGGCACUGAAACACGGGCCAGACUCCUACGGGAGGCAGCAGUGGGGAAUCUUGCACAAUGGGCGAAAGCCUGAUGCAGCGACGCCGCGUGAGCGAUGAAGCCCUUCGGGGUGUAAAGCUCUUUUGUGCGGGAAGAUAAUGACGGUACCGCA
rnacentral:rRNA from 1 species